CACGUAGGGGGCAAGCGUUGUCCGGAUUUAUUGGGCGUAAAGAGCUCGUAGGCGGCUCGGUAAGUCGGGUGUGAAACCUCCAGGCUCAACCUGGAGACGCCACCCGAUACUGCUGUGGCUAGAGUCCGGUAGGGGAGCGUGGAAUUCCUGGUGUGAGCGGUGAAAUGCGCAGAGUAUACAGGGAGGAACACCAGCGGCGAAGGCGGCGCUCUAGUACGGUACUGACGCUGAGACGCGAAAGCGUGGGGAGCGAACAGG
rnacentral:rRNA from 1 species